GAUGAACGCUGGCGGCGUGCCUAAUACAUGCAAGUCGAGCGAACAGACGAGGAGCUUGCUCCUCUGACGUUAGCGGCGGACGGGUGAGUAACACGUGGAUAACCUACCUAUAAGACUGGGAUAACUUCGGGAAACCGGAGCUAAUACCGGAUAAUAUAUUGAACCGCAUGGUUCAAUAGUGAAAGACGGUUUUGCUGUCACUUAUAGAUGGAUCCGCGCCGCAUUAGCUAGUUGGUAAGGUAACGGCUUACCAAGGCAACGAUGCGUAGCCGAACUGAGCGGGUGAUCGGCCACACUGGAACUGAGACACGGUCCAGACUCCUACGGGAGGCAGCAGUAGGGAAUCUUCCGCAAUGGGCGGAAGCCUGACGGAGCAACGCCGCGUGAGUGAUGAAGGUCUUCGGAUCGUAAAACUCUGUUAUUAGGGAAGAACAAAUGUGUAAGUAACUAUGCACGUCUUGACGGUACCUAAUCAGAAAGCCACGGCUAACUACGUG
rnacentral:rRNA from 1 species